CGCAUCUGUGCAUGCAGCAUAUCAAUAAGCGGAGGAAAAGAAACUAACAAGGAUUCCCCUAGUAACGGCGAGUGAAGCGGGAAGAGCUCAAAUUUGAAAUCUUAAAGGGUUUCCCUUUACGAAUUGUAGUUUAAAGAAGUGUUUUCUGUUGAGGUUUUGGUAAAAGUUCUUUGGAAUAGGACAUCAUAGAGGGUGAGAAUCCCGUAUUUGACCUUUACUUUCAACUUUGUGAUACACUUUCAAAGAGUCGGAUUGUUUGGGAAUGCAGUCCAAAAUGGGUGGAUAAAUUUCAUCUAAAGCUAAAUAUUGGCGAGAGACCGAUAGCGAACAAGUACCGUGAGGGAAAGAUGAAAAGAACUUUGAAAAGAGAGUUAAACAGUACGUGAAAUUGUCAAAAGGGAAGCGUUUGACACCAGUGUUGUUUUUCUGAAAAUCAAUUAAAGAACUGUUUAUGCUAAGCUGUUUAGACUUUAUCAGCUAUCUGUUUAGUUUUGAGCUUUUCUUUAAUGCACUUUUCAGUUAACAGGUCAACAUCAAUUUCUUUUGCUGUAAAAAAGCUUGAGGAAGGUGGCUUGAGAUUCGUCUUAAGUGUUUAUAGCCUCUUGCCUAUGCAGUCGGAGAGAUUGAGGUCUGCAGCGUAGAUCCUUCGGGGCUAAAUGCAUUUGUGCUAAGUUAUAGCAUUUUGAUAGACAACUUGUUGACUAUGAUUUGUCUUGUAGCUUACUCGCUUAUGUUAUUUUACCUACGCUUAGGAUGUUGACAGCAGUAUAGACUGU
rnacentral:rRNA from 1 species